rnacentral:rRNA from 1 species
GUGGGGAAUCUUGCGCAAUGGACGAAAGCCUGACGCAGCCAUGCCGCGUGAAUGAUGAAGGUCUUAGGAUUGUAAAAUUCUUUCACCGGGGACGAUAAUGACGGUACCCGGAGAAGAAGCCCCGGCUAACUUCGUGCCAGCAGCCGCGGUAAUACGAAGGGGGCUAGCGUUGCUCGGAAUUACUGGGCGUAAAGGGCGCGUAGGCGGACAGUUUAGUCAGAGGUGAAAGCCCAGGGCUCAACCUUGGAAUUGCCUUUGAUACUGGCUGUCUUGAGUACGGGAGAGGUGAGUGGAACUCCGAGUGUAGAGGUGAAAUUCGUAGAUAUUCGGAAGAACACCAGUGGCGAAGGCGACUCACUGGCCCGUUACUGACGCUGAGGCGCGAAAGCGUGGGGAGCAAACAGGAUUAGAUACCCGUGUAGUCC